CAGGCUUAACACAUGCAAGUCGAGGGGCAUCAGGAAGAAAGCUUGCUUUCUUUGCUGGCGACCGGCGCACGGGUGAGUAACACGUAUCCAACCUGCCCUUUACUCGGGGAUAGCCUUUCGAAAGAAAGAUUAAUACCCGAUAGCAUAAUGAUUCCGCAUGGUUUCAUUAUUAAAGGAUUCCGGUAAAGGAUGGGGAUGCGUUCCAUUAGGUUGUUGGUGAGGUAACGGCUCACCAAGCCUUCGAUGGAUAGGGGUUCUGAGAGGAAGGUCCCCCACAUUGGAACUGAGACACGGUCCAAACUCCUACGGGAGGCAGCAGUGAGGAAUAUUGGUCAAUGGGCGCUAGCCUGAACCAGCCAAGUAGCGUGAAGGGUGAAGGCUCUAUGGGUCGUAAACUUCUUUUAUAUAAGAAUAAAGUGCAGUAUGUAUACUGUUUUGUAUGUAUUAUAUGAAUAAGGAUCGGCUAACUCCGUGCCAGCAGCCGCGGUAAUACGGAGGAUCCGAGCGUUAUCCGGAUUUAUUGGGUUUAAAGGGAGCGUAGGUGGACUGGUAAGUCAGUUGUGAAAGUUUGCGGCUCAACCGUAAAAUUGCAGUUGAUACUGUCAGUCUUGAGUACAGUAGAGGUGGGCGGAAUUCGUGGUGUAGCGGUGAAAUGCUUAGAUAUCACGAAGAACUCCGAUUGCGAAGGCAGCUCACUGGACUGCAACUGACACUGAUGCUCGAAAGUGUGGGUAUCAAACAGGAUUAGAUACCCUGGUAGUCCACACAGUAAACGAUGAAUACUCGCUGUUUGCGAUAUACAGUAAGCGGCCAAGCGAAAGCAUUAAGUAUUCCACCUGGGGAGUACGCCGGCAACGGUGAAACUCAAAGGAAUUGACGGGGGCCCGCACAAGCGGAGGAACAUGUGGUUUAAUUCGAUGAUACGCGAGGAACCUUACCCGGGCUUAAAUUGCAGUGGAAUGAUGUGGAAACAUGUCAGUGAGCAAUCACCGCUGUGAAGGUGCUGCAUGGUUGUCGUCAGCUCGUGCCGUGAGGUGUCGGCUUAAGUGCCAUAACGAGCGCAACCCUUAUCUUCAGUUACUAACAGGUCAUGCUGAGGACUCUGGAGAGACUGCCGUCGUAAGAUGUGAGGAAGGUGGGGAUGACGUCAAAUCAGCACGGCCCUUACGUCCGGGGCUACACACGUGUUACAAUGGGGGGUACAGAAGGCAGCUAGCGGGUGACCGUAUGCUAAUCCCAAAAGCCUCUCUCAGUUCGGAUCGAAGUCUGCAACCCGACUUCGUGAAGCUGGAUUCGCUAGUAAUCGCGCAUCAGCCACGGCGCGGUGAAUACGUUCCCGGGCCUUGUACACACCGCCCGUCAAGCCAUGGGAGCCGGGGGUACCUGAAGUACGUAACCGCAAGGAUCGUCCUAGGGUAAAACUGGUGACUGGGGC
rnacentral:rRNA from 1 species